rnacentral:rRNA from 1 species
AACGCGAAGAACCUUACCCAGGUUUGACAUCCUUGGAAUUUCUGCGAAAGCAGAGAGUGCUUUAUUGAGCCAAGUGACAGGUGAUGCAUGGCCGUCGUCAGCUCGUGUCGUGAGAUGUUUGGUUAAGUCCAUCAACGAGCGCAACCCUUGUAUUUAGUUGAAUUUUUCUAAAUAGACUGCCCCGGCAACGGGGAGGAAGGGGGGGAUGAUGUCAGGUCAGUAUUUCCCUUACAUCUGGGGCUAGAAACACACUACAAUGGCCGGUACAAAGGGCAGCCAAGUCGCGAGACGGAGCAAAUCCCAUCAAAGCCGGUCUCAGUUCGGAUAGCAGGCUGAAACUCGCCUGCUUGAAGCUGGAAUCGCUAGUAACGGUAGGUCAGCAUACUACCGUGAAUACGUUCCCGGGCCUUGUACACACCG